rnacentral:rRNA from 1 species
AAUCAACGCUGGCGGCGUGCCUCAGACAUGCAAGUCGAACGAUUAAAGCUCUCUUCGGAGAGUGUAUAGAGUGGCGCACGGGUGAGUAACACGUAAGUAAUCUACCUUCGAGUGGGGAAUAACACCGAGAAAUCGGUGCUAAUACCGCAUAAUGCAGCGGCAUCGCAAGAUGACAGUUGUUAAAGAUUUAUCGCUUGAAGAGGAGCUUGCGGCAGAUUAGCUAGUUGGUAAGGUAAUGGCUUACCAAGGCUACGAUCUGUAACCGGUCUAAGAGGACGGUCGGUCACACUGACACUGAAUAACGGGUCAGACUCCUACGGGAGGCAGCAGUCGGGAAUUUUGGGCAAUGGGCGAAAGCCUGACCCAGCAACGCCGCGUGAAGGAUGAAGUAUUUCGGUAUGUAAACUUCGAAAGAAUAGGAAGAAUAAAUGACGGUACUAUUUAUAAGGUCCGGCUAACUACGUGCCAGCCGCCGCCGUAAC